CGCGCAGGCGGCCUUUCAAGUCAGGCGUGAAAGCCCCGGGCUUAACCUGGGAAUUGCGCUUGGGACUGGAGGGCUGGAGUUCGGGAGAGGAGAGUGGAAUUCCCAGUGUAGAGGUGAAAUUCGUAGAUAUUGGGAAGAACACCGGUGGCGAAGGCGGCUCUCUGGACCGAUACUGACGCUGAGGCGCGAAAGCGUGGGGAGCAAACAGGAUUAGAUACCCUGGUAGUCCACGCUGUAAACGAUGUGCGCUAGACGUUGGAGGGCGUAGCCUUCCGGUGUCGCAGCUAACGCUUUAAGCGCACCGCCUGGGGAGUACGGCCGCAAGGUUAAA
rnacentral:rRNA from 1 species